rnacentral:rRNA from 1 species
AUGGGGUGACUGCGUACCUUUUGUAUAAUGGGUCAGCGACUUAUAUUCUGUAGCAAGGUUAACCGUAUAGGGGAGCCGUAGGGAAACCGAGUCUUAACUGGGCGAAUGAGUUGCAGGGUAUAGACCCGAAACCCGGUGAUCUAUCCAUGGGCAGGUUGAAGGUUGGGUAACACUAACUGGAGGACCGAACCGACUAAUGUUGAAAAAUUAGCGGAUGACUUGUGGAUGGGGGUGAAAGGCCAAUCAAACCGGGAGAUAGCUGGUUCUCCCCGAAAGCUAUUUAGGUAGCGCCUCGUGAACUCAUCUUCGGGGGUAGAGCACUGUUUCGACUAGGGGGUCAUCCCGACUUACCAACUCGAUGCAAACUGCGAAUACCGAAGAAUGUUAUCACGGGAGACACACGGCGGGUGCUAACGUCCGUCGUGAAGAGGGAAACAACCCAGACCGCCAGCUAAGGUCCCAAAGUCAUGGUUAAGUGGGAAACGAAGUGGGAAGGCUCAGACAGCCAGGAUGUUGGCUUAGAAGCAGCCAUCAUUUAAAGAAAGCGUAAUAGCUCACUGGUCGAGUCGGCCCGCGCGGAAGAUGUAACGGGGCUAAACCAUGCACCGAAGCUGCGGCAGCGACACAAAGUGUUGUUGGGUAGGGGAGCGUUCUGUAAGCCUGCGAAGGUGUACUGUGAGGUAUGCUGGAGGUAUCAGAAGUGCGAAUGCUGACAUAAGUAACGAUAAUGCGGGUGAAAAACCCGCACGCCGGAAGACCAAGGGUUCCUGUCCAACGUUAAUCGGGGCAGGGUGAGUCGACCCCUAAGGCGAGGCUGAAAAGCGUAGUCGAUGGGAAACGGGUUAAUAUUCCCGUACUGGUGGUAACUGCGAUGGGGGAACGGAGAAGGCUAGGUUGUCCGGGCGACGGUCGUCCCGGUUCAAGCAGGUAGGCAGAGUGAUUAGGCAAAUCCGGUCACUUAAUGCUGAGAUGUGAUGACGAACCACCAAGGUGGUGAAGCAAUUGAUGCCCCGCUUCCAGGAAAAGCCUCUAAGCUUCAGGUUACCAACAAUCGUACCCCAAACCGACACAGGUGGUCAGGUAGAGAAUACUCAGGCGCUUGAGAGAACUCGGGUGAAGGAACUAGGCAAAAUGGUGCCGUAACUUCGGGAGAAGGCACGCUGGCGGUAGGUAAAGUCCCUCGCGGACGGCGCUGAAGCCAGUCGAAGAUACCAGCUGGCUGCAACUGUUUAUUAAAAACACAGCACUGUGCAAACACGAAAGUGGACGUAUACGGUGUGACGCCUGCCCGGUGCUGGAAGGUUAAUUGAUGGGGUUAGCGCAAGCGAAGCUCCUGAUCGAAGCCCCAGUAAACGGCGGCCGUAACUAUAACGGUCCUAAGGUAGCGAAAUUCCUUGUCGGGUAAGUUCCGACCUGCACGAAUGGCGUAAUGAUGGCCAGGCUGUCUCCACCCGAGACUCAGUGAAAUUGAACUCGCUGUGAAGAUGCAGUGUACCCGCGGCAAGACGGAAAGACCCCGUGAACCUUUACUAUAGCUUGACACUGAACAUUGAGCCUUGAUGUGUAGGAUAGGUGGGAGGCUUUGAAGUGUGGACGCCAGUCUGCAUGGAGCCAACCUUGAAAUACCACCCUUUAACGUUUGAUGUUCUAACCUAGGCCCAUAAACUGGGUCGGGGACCGUGUCUGGUGGGUAGUUUGACUGGGGCGGUCUCCUCCUAAAGAGUAACGGAGGAGCACGAAGGUUGGCUAAGCAUGGUCGGACAUCAUGCGGUUAGUGCAAAGGCAUAAGCCAGCUUGACUGCGAGAGUGACGGCUCGAGCAGGUACGAAAGUAGGUCUUAGUGAUCCGGUGGUUCUGAAUGGAAGGGCCAUCGCUCAACGGAUAAAAGGUACUCCGGGGAUAACAGGCUGAUACCGCCCAAGAGUUCAUAUCGACGGCGGUGUUUGGCACCUCGAUGUCGGCUCAUCACAUCCUGGGGCUGAAGUAGGUCCCAAGGGUAUGGCUGUUCGCCAUUUAAAGUGGUACGCGAGCUGGGUUUAGAACGUCGUGAGACAGUUCGGUCCCUAUCUGCCGUGGGCGUUGGAAGAUUGAGAGGGGUUGCUCCUAGUACGAGAGGACCGGAGUGAACGCACCACUGGUGUUCGGGUUGUCAUGCCAAUGGCAUUGCCCGGUAGCUAAGUGCGGAAGAGAUAACCGCUGAAAGCAUCUAAGCGGGAAACUUGCCUCGAGAUGAGUCUUCCCUGUCGCUUUAAGCGACCUAAAGGAACGUUUAAGACUAAGACGUUGAUAGGCUGGGUGUGUAAGCGUAGCGAUACGUUGAGCUAACCAGUACUAAUGAACCGUGAGGCUUAACCUG